rnacentral:tRNA from 1 species
GGGGCGUUAACUCAGUGGUAGAGUGCCACCUUCACACGGUGGAAGUCACUGGUUCAAAUCCAGUACGCCCCACCA